rfam:Sus scrofa isolate TJ Tabasco breed Duroc chromosome 12, whole genome shotgun sequence.
UCCCUGGUGGCCUAGUGGUUAAAGAUUCGGCAUUGUCACUGCUGCGGCCCAGGUUCAAACCCUGGCCCUGGAA